rnacentral:rRNA from 1 species
AACGCUAGCUACAGGCUUAACACAUGCAAGUCGAGGGGCAGCAUGAACUUAGCUUGCUAAGUUUGAUGGCGACCGGCGCACGGGUGAGUAACACGUAUCCAACCUGCCGAUGACUCGGGGAUAGCCUUUCGAAAGAAAGAUUAAUACCCGAUGGCAUAGUUCUUCCGCAUGGUAGAACUAUUAAAGAAUUUCGGUCAUCGAUGGGGAUGCGUUCCAUUAGGUUGUUGGCGGGGUAACGGCCCACCAAGCCUUCGAUGGAUAGGGGUUCUGAGAGGAAGGUCCCCCACAUUGGAACUGAGACACGGUCCAAACUCCUACGGGAGGCAGCAGUGAGGAAUAUUGGUCAAUGGACGAGAGUCUGAACCAGCCAAGUAGCGUGAAGGAUGACUGCCCUAUGGGUUGUAAACUUCUUUUAUACGGGAAUAAAGUGAGGCACGUGUGCCUUUUUGUAUGUACCGUAUGAAUAAGGAUCGGCUAACUCCGUGCCAGCAGCCGCGGUAAUACGGAGGAUCCGAGCGUUAUCCGGAUUUAUUGGGUUUAAAGGGAGCGUAGGCGGACGCUUAAGUCAGUUGUGAAAGUUUGCGGCUCAACCGUAAAAUUGCAGUUGAUACAGGGUGUCUUGAGUACAGUAGAGGCAGGCGGAAUUCGUGGUGUAGCGGUGAAAUGCUUAGAUAUCACGAAGAACUCCGAUUG